GCCCCAAGAGAUUGGGGUGCCCAGUAUUGGGGUGCCUGGGCCUCAAGAAAUUGGGGUGCCUGGGCCCUGAGGAACUGGGAUGCCCAGUAUUGGGGUGCCUGGGCCCCGAGGAACUGGGGUGCUCAGGAUGGGGGUGUCCAGAACUGGGGUGCUCAGGAUGGGGGUGCCAGACCCCCGAGGGACAGGGGUACCCCAAAAAUGAAGAAGGAUGAGGUGGGACGACACACCAAGGCACCGAGACCCAGAGGAACCGGGGGGUGCUCCAUCACAGGGCUGUCACCUCCCCCUGAGGACCUGCUGUCCACCCAAGAGGAGAUACAACCUUGCUGAUGGUUCUCCAUGGAGACGUCACCACCCCUUGGGAUCACCACACUUUGGAGGCCUCAGGGGGUGUCACCACCACUUGGGGACCUCCCCAGAGCUGUCACCUCCCCCCGGAGACCUCAGGAGGUGUCACCUCCACUUGGGGACUGUCACCUCCCCCUGGGGACCUGCUGUCUCCACCCAAGAGCAGCCACCACCUUGGGAAUCCCCCGUGGUGGCCACCUUCUCCAUGGAGAUGCCACCACCCCUUGGGAUCACCACCCUUUGGGGAUCUCAGGGGGUGUCACCUCCCCUUGGGGACCUUCCCAGGGCUGUCACCUUCCCCCGAGAACCUGCUGUCCACCCAAGAGGAGACACAACCUUGCUGAUGGUCAACUUCUCCAUGGAGGUGCCACCACCGCUUGGGAUCACACUUUGGAGGCCUCAGAGGGUGUCACCUCCUCUUGGGGACCUCCCCAUGACUGUCCCCUCCCCUUGGGGACCUUCCCAGGGCUGUCACCUCCCCCCAAGGACCUGCUGUCCACCCAAGAGGAGGCACAACCUUGCUGAUGGCCACCUUCUCCAUGGAGGUGCCACCACCCCUUGGGAUCACCACACUUUGGAGGCCUCAGGGGGUGUCACCUCCACUUGGGGACCUCCCCAGGGCUGUCACCUCCCCCUGAGGACCUCAGGAGGUGUCACCUCCCUGUGGGGACUGUCACAUCCCCCUGGGGACCUGGUGUCCACCCAAGAGCAGCCACCACCUUGGGAAUCCCCUGUGGUGGCCACCUUCUCCAUGGAGGUGCCACCACCCCUUGGGAUCACCACCCUUUGGGGACCUCAAGGACCUCCCCACAACUGUCACCUCCCCUUGGGGACCCCCCGAGGACCUGCUGUCCACCCAAGAGGAGGCACAACCUUCCUGAUGGUCACAUUCUCCAUGGAGGUGCCACCAUUCCUUGGGUCACCACAUUUUUGGGGACCUCUAGAACCUCCCCCAUGAUUGUCACCUCCCCUUAGGGACCUCCCCAGGGCUGUCACCUCCCCCCGAGGACCUGCUGUCCACCCAAGAGGAGAUACAACCUUGCUGAUGGUUCUCCAUGGAGACGUCACCACCCCUUGGGAUCACCACACUUUGGAGGCCUCAGGGGGUGUCACCACCACUUGGGGACCUCCCCAGAGCUGUCACCUCCCCCCGGAGACCUCAGGAGGUGUCACCUCCACUUGGGGACUGUCACCUCCCCCUGGGGACCUGCUGUCUCCACCCAAGAGCAGCCACCACCUUGGGAAUCCCCCGUGGUGGCCACCUUCUCCAUGGAGAUGCCACCACCCCUUGGGAUCACCACCCUUUGGGGAUCUCAGGGGGUGUCACCUCCCCUUGGGGACCUCCCCAGGGCUGUCACCUUCCCCUGAGAACCUGCUGUCCACCCAAGAGGAGGCACAACCUUCUUGAUGGUCAACUUCUCCAUGGAGGUGCCACCAUACCUUGGGUCACCACCUUUUGGGGACCUCAAGGACCUCCCCACGACUGUCACCUCCCCUUGGGGACCUUCCCAGGGCUGUCACCUCCCCCCAAGGACCUGCUGUCCACCCAAGAGGAGGCACAACCUUGCUGAUGGCCACCUUCUCCAUGGAGGUGCCACCACCCCUUGGGAUCACCACCCUUUGGGGACCUCAAGGACCUCCCCACAACUGUCACCUCCCCUUGGUGCCUGUCACCUCUCCCUGGGGACCAGUUGUCCACCCAAGAGUAGCCACCACCUUGGGAAUCCCCCGUGGUGGCCACUUUCUCCCUGGAGAUGCCACUACCCCUUGGGUCACCACACUUCGGGGACCUCAGGGGGGGUCACCUCCACUUGGGGACCUCCCCAGAGCUGUCACCUCCCCUCGGAGACCUCAGGAGGUGUCACCUCCCUGUGGGGACUGUCACCUCCCCCUGGGGACCUGCUGUCUCCACCAAAGAGCAGCCACCACCUUGGGAAUCCCCUGUGGUGGCCACCUUC
rnacentral:lncRNA from 1 species